GACGAACGCUGGCGGCGUGCUUAACACAUGCAAGUCGAACGCUGAAGCUCAGCUUUUGUUGGGGGGAUGAGUGGCGAACGGGUGAGUAACACGUGAGUAACCUGCCUCCUUCUUUGGGAUAACGCCCGGAAACGGGUGCUAAUACUGGAUAUUCACUGGUCUUCGCAUGGGGGUUGGUGGAAAGGGUUUUUCUGGUGGGGGAUGGGCUCGCGGCCUAUCAGCUGGUUGGUGGGGUGAUGGCCUACCAAGGCUUUGACGGGUAGCCGGCCUGAGAGGGUGACCGGUCACAUUGGGACUGAGGUACGGCCCAGACUGCUACGGGAGGCAGCAGUGGGGAAUAUUGCGCAAUGGGCGCAAGCCUGAUGCAGCGACGCCGCGUGAGGGAUGGAGGCCUUCGGGUUGUGAACCUCUUUCGCUCAUGGUCAAGCCGCAACAAUGGUUGUGGUGAGGGUAGUGGGUAAAGAAGCGCCGGCUAACUACGUG
rnacentral:rRNA from 1 species